rnacentral:sRNA from 1 species
GCUGGGCAUGGUGGCGCAUGCCUGUAAUCCCUGCAACUUCAGGAGGCUGAGGCAGGAGGAUUGCAAGUUUGAGACCAGCCUGGGAAACUUAGUGAGACUUUGUAUCAA